UGGCCAUAUCACAUUUAAAACACCAGUUCUCAUCUGAUCACCAAAGUUAAGCAAUGUCAAGCCUGGUCAGUACCUAGAUGGGUGCCCAUUUGGGAAUAGCUGGUGCUGCAA
rnacentral:rRNA from 1 species